AUUGAACGCUGGCGGGAUGCUUUACACAUGCAAGUCGAACGAGUGGCGGACGGGUGAGUAAUGUAUGGGAAAGUGCCCGAUGGAGGGGGAUAACUACUGGAAACGGUAGCUAAUACCGCAUACUAUCGGAGGGGCCCAGAUGGGAUUAGCUAGUUGGUGGGGUAAAGGCUCACCUAGGCGACGAUCCCUAGCUGGUCUGAGAGGAUGACCAGCCACACUGGAACUGAGACACGGCCCAGACUCCUACGGGAGGCAGCAGUGGGGAAUAUUGGACAAUGGGCGAAAGCCUGAUGCAGCCAUGCCGCGUGUAUGAUGAAGGCCUUCGGGUUGUAAAGUACUUUCAGCGGGGAAGCGGUAUCCGCAGAAGAAGCACCGGCUAACUCCGUGCCAGCAGCCGCGGUAAUUC
rnacentral:rRNA from 1 species